rnacentral:ncRNA from 1 species
UUCGCCCGGCGUCGAACAGCCGACUUAGAAGUGGUACGGACCGGGGGAAUCCGGCUGUUUAAUUAACACAAAGCUUUGCGAUGCCCGUCAGCCGGUGUUGACGCAACGUGAUUUCUGCCCAGUGCUGAGAAUGUCAAAGUGAAGAAAUUCACCCAAGCGCGGGUAACCGGCGGGAGUAAGUACUGACUCUCUUAAGGUAGCCAAAUGCCUCCUCAUCUAAUUAGCGACGCGCAAGAAUGGAUUAGGGAGAUUCCGGCGGUCCCUAUCU